rnacentral:rRNA from 1 species
UACGUAGGUGGCAAGCGUUAUCCGGAUUUAUUGGGUGUAAAGGGCGUGUAGGCGGGAGCGCAAGUCAGAUGUGAAAACUCAGGGCUCAACCCUGAGCCUGCAUUUGAAACUGUGUUUCUUGAGUGCUGGAGAGGCAAUCGGAAUUCCGUGUGUAGCGGUGAAAUGCGUAGAUAUACGGAGGAACACCAGUGGCGAAGGCGGAUUGCUGGACAGUAACUGACGCUGAGACGCGAAAGCGUGGGGAGCAAACAGG